UCUCAUGAUGAUUAUGUAUAAAAUGUCGUCAGAAGCGAGAAAUGACGAAUUUAACGCCGAUCUGACC
ensembl:snoRNA